CUCUCUGGAGCCCGGCGGACCCGCGUGGAGGGCGCUGUGGGCUCGUGACCUCGUCCUGGGCCUCACCCUGCCGGCUGCUGUCCCGGGAGAGGGCUCUGCCUGCCGCGGCCCCAUCGCGCCCUGGCUCGCACCUGCGAGGGCCGGAUCCGGGGCUGGGGACAGGGGCAGCCAGGCACCACGCUGUCCCGGGACCCUUGGGGUGACACGGGCUGCGCGGGCAGCGGGAGCAGGCUGAGGCUGCCGGCCGGGGGCGCUGUCCUCAGGGCGGAUGGCGGCUCGGACCGCGCCCGCCUGGCGCUGCCCCCGCCAGAUGAAGGCAGUGCAGGGGGCAGCGUUUUCCGGUGGACUCAGCGCCAAGCUGCUUCUCUCCGAAUUGUGCCGGGGGAAGCAGCCUUCAUCCCCACCGAAGGGCACAAAACACUCUCGGAAGUGGCAGAAGCAGAAAGAAAGUAGCAAAAGCAACUAGACAUGCAACCAUGGCGAACCGUGACCGCGUUGCAGCCUGUCCCCUACUGCGCUGCUGCAGGAGCUCAGCGGUGGCGGUGAGGUUCUUGGAAAGGGCAGCUGCGGACCACAGAGGGGACCUGAGCUGCAUGAUGGGGUCCCAGGGAGUCACCGCCCCAGGAUGUCCCCGAAGGCCACCCACACUGCCAGCUGGGGGCUGACCUCGCCCCAGGCUCUUCUGGUGUGGAGGGCCGGCACGAAUGUCAUUCAUCCCUCCCGCAUUGCCACCUGCCCUGGUCUGACCCACCAUGAGUGUGACUGACGAGUCCCCUUCAGGGGAGCCUUGCAUGACCUGGGCGGAAACAGGGGACGUUUAGGUGGCACUGCAGCUGUACGUGGGAAAACUGAGGCACAGGGCAUGGAAGGGUAGGAGAGCUUCUGCUCUGCUCUGGGGGUCAGAGACAGAGAAGACCUCAGUUGUUCCCUUGGGUACAGAGAGGGGUGACCUUAGAGAUCCAUUCCUCAGGAUCCCAGGGCUCAGUGUGGCUGGGAGGUCACCAGGCAGCCAGCAUAGAGAUGCAGGGAGUCUGGGAAACUGGAGGGAGGGCUGCUCCUCCUGCUUCUUCUCUGAUGGCCUCACCACAGUGUGCACGGGUGUUUGUGUGUGUGUACCUGUCUGCGUCUGUGUACAAGAGUGUGCUUAUGGACUGGGGAUUUAGCUCAGUAGUGCCACACCUGCCUCACACAGGCAAGGUCCCAAGUUUGAGCCCUGGAAAAAAAAAAAAAAAGAGUGUGCUUAUAUAUUCCGGUACAGGGGACAUGACUGCUUGCAGCUGAGGGCUAGCACAGGGAUGGCCACCAUGAUGGCUUGCAUCUGAAAUGUUCCCCGAGAUGGGCGUGGUGGCACACACCUGUAAUUCCAGUGUUCCUCAGGCUGGGGCAGGAGGAUCACCAUGGGUUUGAGGCCAGCCUGGACUACAUAGCGAGACCCUGUCUCAAAAAACAAAACAAACAAACAAAAAGUCCCUUGAAAGCUGUGUGCUAAAGGCUUGGUGCCAGCCCGUGGCGCUGUCAGGAGAUGGGGCAAUCUCGAGGAGGAGGGCCAUGGUUGGAGGAAGUAGGUCCCUGGGGGUGGGGCUUCAAAGGUCCCACUUUUGUCCCACCUCCUCUGCUCCCUGACAGGUGGGCAGCUUUGUGCCACCAACCCCUCCCUGCCAGCUCAGACACAAUGGAGCCAGCCAACCAUGGACUGAAAUGUCUGACACCGUGAGCCAAGAUAAAUAUUUUCUCCUACACUGAGUUUCUUAGGCAGCUAGAAGAGGCAGAGUUGGAGCAGGGCUCUGGUACCUGGGGGAGGGGUGGUCCCAGAGAUGUGUCCAGGACCCCAAGAGGCUGCUCCCUGGGGCAGCAGGGCCCUCGGGGGACUUUGUACCCAGGCAGAGCUCAGACUGAGGCCUUGGGGACCACUGAGUUCCCAUGCCCCUCUCCCUCGCCCAGCCCUGCAGCCCUGUGUACUGGGCAGAGCUGAGCCCAGGCAGGGGUUCAGCAAAAGGGAGACAGGCAGGAAGAGACGGAUCUAAGGGGUCUAAGUAACAUGGUUUAUGCCAUCAGAGGUUAGUGUGUUAAAAACCCACUGGUGGGGGCCGGGGAUUUACCUCAGUGGUUUCACCACCUGCUGCGCAAGCACAAGGACCCGAGUUUGAUCCCCGGUACCAAAAGAAAACAAAAGCAAAACCAAAAAAACCCCACUGGUACUGGCCAUCUUUGUGUGACUCCCAGAGAGCCAAAAGAAGGGAAAAUGAAACUAAGAAAACGCUGCCAAGCCAGUAGAUUGUAUGGAUGGGAGGAAUAAACUCAAGGGAGGAUGGGCUGUUCGCAGGAGCAUAAAGUCAGAUGUCAGGAAUGAUUACAGACACCUUCAUCAUGGGGCAAGUGAGAAUUCAAGAGGAAAAGCAACAAAAUGUACAAAGAGGAUGAUAGUGCACAUGGCUAGAACUUCCUAUCCAUCAGGAAGGUGCAAUAACCCGAACAUCUACACAACAUUUGUCAGGGCAGCUUUGACAUCUGCAGUGGUGGUGAGUGGCUGGAAACCCUCGUCUCAGGGAUUUUAGUCAGCCAUGGAGAUGAGUGGACGGCAGGCGCGUCUCUCCCGGGGCUGUGGAGCUGAGUACGCUGUUGAGCAACCACAGCAGGUGCAGAAUGCUAUGCACAGGGUCCCGCAGGCGGAUUUAAUAUCUAAAGCCAGUACUGCGUAACUUUCAUGGUCACAUAAAUAUGCAGUGAAGGUACAGAGCGUGCUCGGGAAUGGUGAACAGCAGAGCUGCGUUGGGGCUCCUCUGCAGAGGGAGGUCGGGUGGAAGAGCGGAAGUGUGUUCAUUCCAUCCCGGACAGCAGUCAGCACAGACACGGGAGCUUGAAGCAGCACCACCUUGCCUCUGUUUCCUGUAGUCGGAAGUCCGCAUGAGGGUUAGCAAGAUCCUCUGGCAAAACAAGGUGCUGGCCGGGCUGUGGGCACACGUAGGGCCCCAGGUCCUCCUGCAAGGUCACUCCAGUUGUUGGAAGAAUCCAAUUCCUUCAGCUGGAGGAUUCUUCUUUUUUUGUUUUUUUGAUGGCCAUUGGCUGGGUCUUUCUCAUCUCCUCGAGGCUGAUCUCACGUCCUGGCUCUGCAGCCGUCUCCAUAAAUGUUACCUUUUUACCAUUAAUAAUUUAAUUUAAAAAUUUUUUUUUUUUGGAACCGAGGAUGGAACUUGGGACCUUGUGCUUGCGAGGCAGGCACCAGAACCACUGAGCUAAAUCCCGGCCCGAUGUUACCUUUUUAAUCAGGGUACCAAGAGUGCAUUGGCUGUGGCUUUGAACCCCUCUGACUUUCAACUCUGGAAACUCUUUUUAAAAUCACCUGAUUAAGUCAGGCCCACCCACCUCAAGGGGAGGGGAUCACAGGAUCUGCACCCCAAGGGUCAGGAGUCGCCAGUGCUGUCUUAGAACCCACAGGAAGGAUGCACAGUGGGUACCAAUUGUGCUGCAGACUGUACUGAAAAUAUCUACAGCCAACAUGGCUUCAUGUUAAGGUCUCUGGAAAGUAGCUGGUGGAUACCAGGGGUUUGAUUUUCUUAUUCUUUUCUCCUACAUUAUUGAAAAUAUUUCACACAUACAAAAUUAAUGAACUAAAACACCAAAAUGCACCCUCUAUUAAAGGAGUAAAGAAAUUAUAAAUUAUUUAGAAAUAAAUAAUAAUGAAUAUUAAAACCUGAAUAAUAUAGACAUUACACAAUUAGAGAAAAAUUUACAGCCUACAUUAGAUAUACUACAAACAAGAGAAACUGAAAAUCAGUGAAAUAAUUUUACAACUAAAAACAGUGGAAAAGAAACAACAAAUUAAAUCUGAAGAAAGGAGGCAUUAGUGAAGAUAAAACUAGAAAGUAAUGGUCAAAAUAAAAUAUUGGAUGAAUGAGCACAACUUUCCCCUUGAACAGGCGUGGCUUAGUUACUUUUCUCAUUGCUGAGACAAAAUACCCGAUGCCCACAAGUUAAGGGAGGACAGGUUCAUUUAGCUCACAGUGUGUGGAGGUUUCCGUCCAUAGUCGGUUGGCUCCAAGGCAGGGGGGCCUGGCAGAGGAGGAGCAGCUCAGAGAAGCAAGGGCCCUCAGCAGCUGCUUUCUGCCACCUUUAUAGUCUUUCUUGGGUACUGGGAUCAGGGCAGGUGCACAACCAAUCAGGACUGAUUUAGUAAUCACACACCCUUAAUCCUAGCAUUGCACCAUGAAUCAGUCACACACCUUAGAUCCAGCCACCUCUGAAAAAGCUCCAUCUCUGACCACUUGAGGCUUGUGGGGACAGCUAGACACAGCCAUAACAAGGCUGGUAAAUAGAUAAAAAGUUGGCAAGCCUGAUCGAGAACAAAAGUGGAAACUUAGAAGACAAGGGAUGUAGUUCCAGGAACAGAGAAUAUUUUAAAACUAUAAAAGAAUGAUAUUGUGUGGCAAUAUUAUUCAAACAUCUAUGUGAAAUGGGUGCUUUCUAGAGAAAUAUUAGAGUUGCCUCUAAAAAAGAUACCAGGCCCCGAUGGUUUUAUGGGAGGAUUCCCUAAGCCUCAAAGGCACAGAUAAUUCCCAUGUGAAGGGAAUCAUGUUCCCAGCAUGCUCUAUGAGUGGUGUAUGCUGAUAUUAAAACAACGCAAGGAUAGGAUAAGCAAGGAAAAUGGUAAUUUCACUCUGUAAUUCAAUACAUUAGGAAAUAGAUUUAUGAAUUUAAUAUAUGACAUAAUGUUUAAUAUUUAACUCAUGUUUAUGCAUAAACGUAAGAGCAAGAAUCAAGCUAUGACAAAGCCGGGGAACUACAGUCACCAUCUCACAUCAGGAGCUGGGAUCACAGAGACCUGCAGAGCUGCCUGCGGGGAGGAGGGCAGGUCUGCUGCCAGCUCACUUGCCUCUGGUGGUGGUGUGGGCUGUGGCUGGGUGAAGUGGGGCACCCAGGAGUGUGUCUGCAGAGGCCAGUAAGGGUUUCCACCGGAAGUGAGGAUCCUGGCCGUUGACAUGGCAGUUGCUCUUGGUGAGGCAGAUGCUCCAGAAGGGGAUGGGCAGAGAAGUGGACACAGCCCAGACCUGGGAGAUGCCAGGCAUGGCUGCUAUCCUCGUCCUUGCAGGGAGGGUGGGUGCAUCCACUUGGCCUCUUUGCCUCCACGCGGGACCCAGGAUUUGUCCUGGGGUGUCUGCAGCAGGCUGGGCACUGUGGCCAGGCUGGUGGCUUGAGGACUGGCAGGGACGGCAAGAGACCUGAACUCUGUUGGGAGAGCCUCAGUCUUUCCCCACAUCUGUCCUCCACCUCAGCCACAGGUGUCACACAGAGAGGCCCCUGGAGCCCCUGCAGCUUGACUCUGCCCACGAGCCAACAGGGAGAUGCUUCUUCUUAUCACCCUCAUUGCUCUGACUGUGGCUGGAGUCCCAGCCCCACCUCUGCCCUCUCACCUCUCUGGGAGCAGGCGAGAGAUCAUCUGCCCAAGAGAGGACGCCUUUCCAGGGAGGAGCGCACCGAGGGGGCCCUGCCAGCCCCUGGGGUCCUCACCUUGCCUUCUUCAAGCAGGGACAGGACGGCCUUGAAGGAGGGAGCAGUGACCAUGCUGGCUCAGACUGCAGAGCUGCGGCCAUCUGUGACUUGGAGGAUGAGAACCCCAGUGCCAUCACAAAAAAUCUGCUCUUCCAUUUGCAGAAUACUAACAUUCCUCAGUGGCAUAAACAGUCAGUGCUGGGUUCAUUCCCUUCCUUGCCUUACGGUGUUUUUUUUUUCAAAACCUCUUGUUUGUAUAAAAUGAUUCACACCCUGGAAUUGACUACAGGGAAC
ensembl:lncRNA